rnacentral:misc_RNA from 1 species
GGAAGGAUCAUUAUAGAAUAAACUUGAACGGGCUGUUGCUCUCCCAUAGGGUGGUGCACGCCUGUCAUAUUUAUCUCUCCCACUGUGCACAUUUUGUAGACCUGGUGUUUGGGAAUUGCUGUGGGUCAGCUCUGCCCUU